rnacentral:rRNA from 1 species
ACGCUGGCGGUAGGCUUAACACAUGCAAGUCGUGCGAGAAAGUAUCUUCGGAUAUGAGUAGAGCGGCGGACGGGUGAGUAACGCGUAGGAAUCUACCUAGUAGAAGGGGAUAGCCCGAGGAAACUCGGAUUAAUACCGUAUACCUCCUUCGGGAGAAAGAAGGCCUCUCUUUGAAGCUUUCGCUACUAGAUGAGCCUGCGUAAGAUUAGCUUGUUGGUGAGGUAAAGGCUCACCAAGGCUACGAUCUUUAGCGGGUCUGAGAGGACGAUCCGCCACAUUGGGACUGAGACACGGCCCAGACUCCUACGGGAGGCAGCAGUGGGGAAUAUUGGACAAUGGGCGAAAGCCUGAUCCAGCCAUACCGCGUGUGUGAAGAAGGCCCUAGGGUUGUAAAGCACUUUAAGUUGGGAAGAAAAGUUAUUGGUUAAUACCCAAUGACCGUGACAUUACCAUCAGAAUAAGGACCGG